rnacentral:rRNA from 1 species
CGGCCUCAAGGCUAAAAAACAAAGGAAUUGACUGGGACCCGCAAAAGCGUUGGAGCAUGUGUUUUAAUUCGAUUCAAAGCGAAGAACCUUACCUGGUCUUUACAUCCUUCGAACUUUCUAGAGAUAUAUUUGUGCCUUCGGGAACGCAGUGACAGGUGAUGCAAGUCUGUCUUCAGCUCUUGUUGUGAAAUGUUUGGUUAAGUCCCGAAAAGAGAGAAACCACUAUUGAUAGUUACAAUCAUUAA